AUACGGCGGAUCCGAGCGUUAUCCGGAUUUAUUGGGUUUAAAGGGUGCGCAGGCGGCCAUUUAAGUCAGAGGUUAAAUUGUGGGGCUCAACCCCAUUCUGCUGUUGAUACUGGGUGGCUUGAUUGCGGUCGAGGUUGGCGGAAUUCGUUGUGUAGCGGUGAAAUGCAUAGAUAUGACGAAGAACACCGAUUGCGUAGGCAGCUGACCAGACCGCAAAUGACGCUCAUGCACGAAAGUGCGGGGAUCGAACAGGAUUAGAUACCCUGGUAGUCCGCACAGUAAACGAUGAAUACUUGUUUUCGGCGAUAUAAUGUCGGAGGCAAAGCGAAAGCGAUAAGUAUUCCACCUGGGGAGUACGCCGGCAACGGUGAAACUCAAAUGAAUUGACGGGG
rnacentral:rRNA from 1 species